rnacentral:rRNA from 1 species
CAGGCAGCGGGGAGCUUACACAUGCAGUCGAGGGGCAGCACGGGUAGCAAUACCUGGUGGCGACCGGCAGACGGGUGAGUAACGCGUAUGUAACCUACCCUGUACAGGGGGAUAACCCGGAGAAAUUCGGACUAAUAUCCCAUGGAAAUAUUGAGAGGCAUCUUUUGAUAUUUAAAGUUCCGGCGGUACGGGAUGGGCAUGCGUAACAUUAGCUAGUUGGUAAGGUAACGGCUUACCAAGGCUUUGAUGUUUAGGGGUCCUGAGAGGGUGGUCCCCCACACUGGUACUGAGACACGGACCAGACUCCUACGGGAGGCAGCAGUGAGGAAUAUUGGUCAAUGGGCGCAAGCCUGAACCAGCCAUCCCGCGUGCAGGAAGACGGCCCUAUGGGUUGUAAACUGCUUUUCCAGGGGGAGAAACUUGCGCACGUGUUGCGCAAUUGACGGUACCUUGGGAAUAAGCAUCGGCUAACUCCGUGCCAGCAGCCGCGGUAAUACGGAGGAUGCGAGCGUUAUCCGGAUUCAUUGGGUUUAAAGGGUGCGUAGGCGGACUAUUAAGUCAGUGGUGAAAUCCUGCAGCUUAACUGCAGAACUGCCAUUGAUACUGAUAGUCUUGAGUUUGGUUAAGGUAGGCGGAAUGUGUAAUGUAGCGGUGAAAUGCUUAGAUAUUACACAGAACACCAAUUGCGUAGGCAGCUUACUGAGCCGACACUGACGCUGAGGCACGGAAGCGUGGGGAUCGAACAGGAUUAGAUACCCUGGUAGUCCACGCCGUAAACGAUGAUUACUCGCUGUUGGCGAUACACUGUCAGCGGCUAAGCAAAAGCAAUAAGUAAUCCACAUGGGGAGUACGGCCGCAAGGUUGAAACUCAAAGGAAUUGACGGGGGCCCGCACAAGCGGAGGAACAUGUGGUUUAAUUCGAUGAUACGCGAGGAACCUUACCUGGGCUUAAAUGUAGAGUGCAUUUUCUAGAGAUAGGAAUUCCCUUCGGGGCUUUCUACAAGGUGCUGCAUGGUUGUCGUCAGCUCGUGCCGUGAGGUGUCGGGUUAAGUCCCAUACGAGCGCAACCCUUAUCGUUAGUUGCCAUCUGGUAAAGCAGGGGACUCUAGCGAACUGCCACCGUAGGUGAGAGAGUGGGGAUGACGUCAAAUCAGCACGUCCUUAUGUCAGGGCUAACAACACGGUGUUACAUUGUCCGUUACAGAAGGCAGCUACCUGGGUGACAGGAUGUUAAUCUCUCGGAAAACGGGCCCUCAGUCCGGAUCCGC